rnacentral:rRNA from 1 species
AUGAACGCUGGCGGCGUGCCUAAUACAUGCAAGUCGAGCGAACAGACGAGGAGCUUGCUCCUCUGACGUUAGCGGCGGACGGGGGAGUAACACGUGGAUAACCUACCUAUAAGACUGGGAUAACUUCGGGAAACCGGAGCUAAUACCGGAUAAUAUAUUGAACCGCAUGGGUCAAUAGUGAAAGACGGUUUUGCUGUCACUUAUAGAUGGAUCCGCGCCGCAUUAGCUAGUUGGUAAGGUAACGGCUUACCAAGGCAACGAUGCGUAGCCGACCUGAGAGGGUGAUCGGCCACACUGGAACUGAGACACGGUCCAGACUCCUACGGGAGGCAGCAGUAGGGAAUCUUCCGCAAUGGGCGAAAGCCUGACGGAGCAACGCCGCGUGAGUGAUGAAGGUCUUCGGAUCGUAAAACUCUGUUAUUAGGGAAGAACAAAUGUGUAAGUAACUAUGCACGUCUUGACGGUACCUAAUCAGAAAGCCACGGCUAACUACGUG